UGCUUGCAUCCUUCUCCCAGUUCUCAGCUCUGCCUGCGUGUCCAAACAAAAAGAGGCCGUUAGACAGCAAGUCAACGAAGAUGCGAAUGUGGAAGGCCAGACCAAUGGAACUGGAUAGAAUUCUGUCAACAGUGAGGAAGGAAGGAGGAGGCUGUGAUCCAAGGAAUCCUGGAAAGCUGCUCGCUGAAAAACAAUGGAACACCCCCAGGAGGACACAGAUGUACUGACACUCUCAUUUCGACGUGUGUGGCGGGUGCCCUUCUGACUACUGAACUGUAAGCAACCAAAAGUUUUGGAGGCCCUGGAAAGAUGCUGUCUAAAGGUAACGAUAUUAAUGUAAGUCAUAUGAGAGGACAGACGUUUCUUAUCAACAAGGAAGACCUUGGAGUCAUCGCCCACUGAGACAAAUGAUAAGGUGAUGUCUCGCUGAGGUCUCUUUGUGGUAUUCUCCACCCCUGCAACCAACUUCUGGGCCUGCAGGCUGGACAGAGCAGCCAUGGAGUCUGGAUGGAAACCCCCGUGGCCAACAGCCCUUGCUCUCAGUGCUCCUGCAGCAUUAACAGCUCAUUGAUGCCUCCGCAGUUAGCGGCUGUGGCCUCUGGACUGGCUGGAGAAAGGAGGACGGAGUACAAAAUACAGGUUGAUAAUGAAUCAUCACAUCACAGCCCUCCGGGUCACAGUGUUCUGUAGGACUGGCCUCCUUUGGAAUGACAGGACUAAGCUCUUAGCUGUUCAGAGCUUCAUAGAGAAGUUCAAACCUGUUUCUGAAGAUUGCCAACAUCACAU